UACGUAGGUGGCAAGCGUUGUCCGGAUUUAUUGGGCGUAAAGGGCGCGCAGGCGGUUCGUUAAGUCCGAGGUGAAAUCUCCCGGCUCAACUGGGAGAGGUCUUCGGAUACUGGCGGACUGGAGGUGAGCAGAGGUGAGUGGAAUUCUCGGUGUAGUGGUGAAAUGCGUAGAUAUCUGGAGGAACACCGGUGGCGAAGGCGACAUCCUGGACCGGUAUUGACGCUGAGGCGCGAAAGCCAGGGGAGCAAACGGG
rnacentral:rRNA from 1 species